rnacentral:lncRNA from 1 species
UAUAACAUUGUCAUGGAAAAGAUUCUUCAUGGUGGACUACAAAAAUUUCGACAUUAUCAGAAGUGGGAGGAGAAUGAAGAGUUGCGUAUUUGCAAGAAAGGAAGGGGCCUAAGAGUUGAGAUAAUCCUGGAAAACAAAGAUAUCAAGUGGAUUGCUAAUGCUUUAGUAAAUUUUUAUUGGAGGAAGGGUGGUAAAUCUUAGGAAAAACAAAU